AGAUAUAGUAAAGGUAAAUAAAAAUUAGAUAUAGUAACAGGUAACUAUUACCCAGCCAAUUUCAUCAAAAUUCUGUGAAAAUAUUCUGUGUAAAUUCUAUAUACACACUAAUCAAACAAUUUAAAAAACUCAAAUCAAGUAUGAAAUCAUAAAAUAGUUGUGUGGUGCAAAGGGUAUUUUAAAAGAUUAUCAGACUGAUAUUCAAGCUGGCAUAUUCACAUUUUUCUGGAAAGAGAUAUUUGCUUUCUGAUAACAUAUACCUUUUGAUUUCAUAAAGUUUUGGUGGUACAAAUUAAAGCACUCAGUGUUAAUGUUUUUGAAAGCAUUGCAUUUAAAUUAUUUUCUCAGGCUCUAAAGAGAAAACACCAGAGGAAACCACCAGGCUGAAUUGUUUAAAAUGUAUUUUCCAUAUAAUUAAAUAAGAAACAUCUGUCUAGGGAUUUUGGAAAUGAAUGUAAUCCAUCCACACUCUGCCUGCACUAGCUUACAUCCGAUGUCUAAUAUUUUGAAA